rnacentral:rRNA from 1 species
UACAGAGGUCUCAAGCGUUGUUCGGAUUCAUUGGGCGUAAAGGGUGCGUAGGUGGCGGGGUAAGUCAGGUGUGAAAUUUCGGAGCUUAACUCCGAAACUGCAUUCCAUACUGCGGUGCUUGAGGACUGGAGAGGAGACUGGAAUUCAUGGUGUAGCAGUGAAAUGCGUAGAGAUCAUGAGGAAGACCAGUGGCGAAGGCGGGUCUCUGGACAGUUCCUGACACUGAGACACGAAGGCCAGGGGAGCAAACGGG